AAGCAGGAUGUGGGCUGUUCCAGAUUGGAACAGUGAAGGAUUUGCUUGCUCUAAAAAGCCCGGAGAUGAUUAUCAGGAGGGCAUUUCUGAGCUACUGUGCCUCCGAUCUCGAAGACUGGAUUUGUUCUGUGUCGCCCAGGUGCUGUGCUGGGUUCCAGUCUCGGAGACUACUUUCGCCUGUCUCCCUCCUGUUCUCUGUGGCAUGCAUGGCUGAGGGGAAAGUGUCAAGUUCCACCAGGGCUGCUCAUUACUCUGUGUCCCAGUUCUUAGCCAAUUGAGUUCAAAUCCUGGCCCUGAAACCCUGUGUGAGGAAACUGUCUAGUCUCUUUCUGCCUCAGCUUCUUCUUCGAGUAGUGGAGGAUGGACUAAGCGAUGGAAAGCUUCCGAAGGAUGUCCGCUCAGGUUUGCUGGUGGGAAGCAAGGUUUCCAUUGACUUUACCUCAGAUCUGCCGGCUUGACUCCCAGUGACCUCACUGCGGGGCCUGGCUCUCCCGUGCCCCAUAGGACCUCAGAGACUAGAGUGAAUGUGAAUGGCUGGCAAACACAACUGGCUGGCAGAAACACCACAAGCUGCAGAGGUGCUGGGUGCCCUCUGCUUCAUCCACCUGACAGGCCCUUGCCCACACAUCUCUGAGGAGCUGAGAACACCCAUUGGCUCUUGGACCCUUUGUCUUCAAUUCACACAGCCCCAACCUUUGUGUCUACUGUGGCAACUCUUGCAACCGUACCCUAAAGGGCAUCCUUGUAGGCAACCAGAGAUCCACCUGGAUAUCCCUUGGCUUGUGGUUAGCUGACUAAUGACAUUGAUUUGUCCAACCAUCCUGAUGUCUCUGUAACUCUAAAAGGUCAUUUGGAGGGUCAAACAAAAGAAUCCGCCGGGCGGUGGUGGCGCACGCCUUUAAUCCCAGCACUCGGGAGGCAGAGC